UCUCGAUUCAUACCGUUCGGGUUGGAAGGUUGAAUUUCCAAUUUUCAGCUAACAAUCUCCUUAAAACUUGUACAACAGGUCUUUCUUUGGUCCGUUAGAGGCAUGUAGAAUGAUAAUCACUGACAAAUACUCACUUAAAAAUAUGUUUCUGCUGUUGUGACCAGUUCACAGUUUGUAGCUUCACGCGUUUCUUUGUGGAUAUUCAUAACAGAUUUCGCGACAUUUUUUUUUAAGUUGUGUUUGCCUUUUUUUAGAUUCAACAAGAACUUGAAGAACAGAAAAAGAUUGCUGAGGAGACAAAAAUCAAGCUUAUGAAAGUCACAAACAUCCUGUGUACUUCGAAACCAAACGAAAAUGAUGUAAAACAACGUAAGCAACGUCGCUGGACCGUUUG